UGGAACAUGUAAGUAAGGGCUGCCCAUGUGCAGUCGUUACCAACAUGUUUUAC
rnacentral:pre_miRNA from 1 species